CGUACCCUUCUCUGCGGAAUAGCCUCGGGAAACUGAGAGUAAUACCGCAUACGCCCUUCGGGGGAAAGAUUCAUCGGGGAAGGAUCGGCCCGCGUUAGAUUAGGUAGUUGGUGGGGUAAUGGCCUACCAAGCCUACGAUCUAUAGCUGGUUUGAGAGGAUGAUCAGCCACACUGGGACUGAGACACGGCCCAAACUCCUACGGGAGGCAGCAGUGGGGAAUCUUAGACAAUGGGGGCAACCCUGAUCUAGCCAUGCCGCGUGAGUGACGAAGGUCUUAGGAUCGUAAAGCUCUUUCGCUGGGGAAGAUAAUGACUGUACCCAGUAAAGAAGUCCCGGCUAACUCCGUGCCAGCAGCCGCGGUAAUACGGAGGGGACUAGCGUUGUUCGGAAUUACUGGGCGUAAAGCGCGCGUAGGCGGAUUAGUCAGUCAGAGGUGAAAUCCCAGGGCUCAACCCUGGACUGCCCUUUGAUACUGCUAGUCUUGAGGUUCCA
rnacentral:rRNA from 1 species